GAUGAAGAACGUAGUGAAAUGCGAUAAGUAAUGCGAAUUGCAGAAUUCCAGUGAGUCAUCGAAUCUUUGAACGCACAUUGCGCCCUUUGGUAUUCCGAAGGGCAUGCCUGUUCGAGCGUCAUUAUCACCCCUCAAGCCCUCGGCUUGGUGUUGGACGGUUUGGUGGAGGCCCCCUCGGGGGCUCCUGCCCCUCCCAAAGACAAUGACGGCGGCCUCGUUGGACCCCCGGUACACUGAGUUCUUCACGGGACACGUAUCGGACACAUGGGUUUACGGGACACGGUCUGCCUCCCCUCAGGGAGAAUCUUUCUAAGGUUGACCUCGGAUCAGGUAGGGAUACCCGCUGAACUUAGGCAUAUCAAUAAGCGGAGGA
rnacentral:misc_RNA from 1 species